AGUGUCCAGGGAGCACAAGGCCUGGGGGCCCACAAACCUGGGUCUGUAUGCCCACUCUUCAUUAGCAGCUCCAGGACCAAGUGCGGUCAGUUUUCUGGAACUCGUUUCCAUAUCUCCACUGUGAUGUAAGGAUGUGCAUGGAUCCUAAAUGUGAGAAGCUGGCAAUCACCAGGUCCCUGGCAAGUGCUCAGAGUCUGAGCUACCAUCAAAAUCAAGGGCACAGGGGGAAGCUAACUGCUUCUCUGAAUACUCUAAGGGAGGCAGAUCUAGGCCAGGUGACCAGGGUUUACAAGUCCCAGGACAGCAGGUUGGGCUUGGUGCACGGAAGAACUGAUGAGCAGCUUCACUCAUGCAGCAGGACAGAUCAGGACAAAGCCAUGCUGGAGUUGGGGCCACACAUCUGCUGAAAACCCCCAACACUCUUUUUCCCAGCAGCAGCUUCCAAGCAAUUCCUGAGGCCCUCCCACCGGCUAACCAGAAAGGAACCCACCAUUGGUCUCCUUAGUAACGACUUCCAAGGCCCCUUGCACAUCUGAAAAGCGCACAGUGUGAUUUCCAGACCCAAGUUAGACAGCGAUUUCUUCAAAGUGCAACGCCCUCAAUUAAUGAACCCUCUGGGAAUGAAGUACCUUCUAACAAAAACAUUGUUCAAAAUAAAGCUGGAAAAAAACCUCACACAGCCCCUAGGA
rnacentral:lncRNA from 10 species